UACAGAGGUCUCAAGCGUUGUUCGGAUUCAUUGGGCGUAAAGGGUGCGUAGGUGGCGCCGUAAGUCAGGUGUGAAAUUUCGGAGCUUAACUCCGAAACUGCAUUUGAUACUGCGGUGCUUGAGGACUGGAGAGGAGACUGGAAUUUACGGUGUAGCAGUGAAAUGCGUAGAUAUCGUAAGGAAGACCAGUGGCGAAGGCGGGUCUCUGGGCAGUAACUGACGCUGAGGAGCGAAAGCGUGGGGAGCGAACAGG
rnacentral:rRNA from 1 species